GCACCUGGCACCUGCCCUUAGCCCCAGCUGGCCUCAAUUACCUGGCUGCCAGGAGACAAAGACCUCGUGUGCCUCCCGUGCCACGACCUCCACGUGCAGCCCUUGGGCGGGGGCAGGGCAUGGCGCAAGGCAUAUCGGGAGCCCCUCCCCAGAGCCCAGGAGUCUAUUAAUUGGCGGCGUGAGGGAAGGAGGGAAACGCUCCCCUCGAGGUGCGGCCGGCUGAGCAGGUGAAGGUCCGGCAGCCACAGCCCUGACUAUGGUUCAGAGAAGGCGGUAGCGUUGAACCUGUCCUCUCCAAGACCCAGCGCAGAGGCCUAAGGACGUUUUAAAAACUCUGCUUCAAAACAUGGUAGUCCAGAAGGAACAGAGAAUUGAAGGAAAAAAUAGGCAGAGUUAACGAAAGAAAGCUGACUAUCUGAAGACUUCACUUAUGAAAGUAGAAAACUCAUAUGGAGCCCUGGGAACUCGGCAGAGUAGGGGUCUUUGUACAUAAUGAGGGAUAUUCAGGUUCAACAGGAGAUGACAGAAGAACAAGAUGAUGGAGCAGUGGCCAGUGGGACAGGAGGGUGUGAUUAUGUCAACAACAAAGGCAAACUUGAAGAGCAAAGCGUAGCAGUUAAAGAUGUCUCCGUGCAACAGGAACACACAUUUGUGGCAAGAUCAGAAGGAGCUGGGCUUCUAGCAUCCAGGGUGAGCCCUGACCUGGCUGAGAGCAUAGCAACUGGCACACCCUCCUGCUGUGGGAAGAGUCGGCCUCAUGGGUGCCUUCUCCUUGGUUUUCCUCUUCAGAUAUGCAGAAAAGAAGUUCCUUCCAUGUCUGACAGCUUUCUCAAGGUCAGUGGAGUGAUUCUUUUUUUUACAGUAGAAUUUCACUUAUUUUGAUUUCUAAGAGGAAAAAAAAAAUCAAGCCUCAGUGUGUAUUCUCAGAGAUUUGUGCCAGGUCUAUUAUCCGGCCCCACUUCUCAGAGAUCCUUAACUCUGCUGGCCCUGAACAUGGUUUACCAAUGACAAUGGUGCCAGUGAACAGAACUGAGGUAAAGGAAAUUGAUUAAGUCUUGCAAUUAGUAGAAUAGGCUCCAGCUAGCACUGCAAUAGAGUAUAUAUCGAGGUAUUUGGACUGAGAUCAAAUCUUAAUAUCAGGUCUUAAUAUCUUAAGACCUCUACGAAAUGGCCUGGUCUGGAAGGUUAUGCAAAAAUUUCUAGGAUGAGGACUAACUUAUGGGCAUUUGAAUGUUUGAGGUAGUGAGGUGAGAGGAAAUCAUAAUUCAUGAGCUAUUUUCAAACCAGAGAAGUAUUAGAAUAUGCAAAUAAAUGUAUAUGAAUGAGAAAGAGUUUCAUGUGAUGUGAAAUUUUGAAAUGUGAUUUUACAGUUUGACCUUAAUUCAAGUAUGUUUAUGUAUGUGUAUAUUAUAUAUAUAUAUAAUAUUAUGUUAUGUUAUAUUAUAUUAUUUAUGUAACACACACACACAAAUAUAUAUAAACAAAGCAUGUCUUUAUUGUAAAAUAAGAAUGUCACUAACCUAUAUUUGGGAUUUACAUUUUUAUUAAUCCUUGGUUAUAAUGAAAUUAGGUUAAUAAGUGUUGUUCUAUAGCUUCUGGAGUGACAUGUUUGUAACAAUGUAGGAUCAGAUGAGUAAACUGAGAAUGAUGAAUAUUCAUUUUCAGGUGUUUUUCACUAUUACAUUAAAAAAUAUAAUAUUCCACCAAGUGGGUUAUUACUGAAGUUCUUAUGCUAAAAAUUAAAUACUUAAUAAUGACAUCUAUCUGGUACUUUUGACAUAUAUGAGUAUCUUCAGUAGCCUCAAGAUACAAUCUGAAAUUAUCAAAACAUGAAAAAAAAUUAUAGGACUAAAAUACAGAGACAUAGAUACAAGUAAAGAAGCAACCUAAAACUGAGGUUAUUUGGUUUGACACCUCUCUUGUCUAGUCUGAUUGGUUUAUAUGUCAUAAUUAUUUCUUAUUGUUUCUUAAAAGAUUAUUACUGCAAAUAUCAUAAAAUGAUAAAUAACCCUAGAAGUUCCCAAUAGUAGAAGCAGACAUGUUAAACAUGGAAUUGUUUUAAAAGUCUUUGGUUAAAGACCUUCUAGAUACUGUGUGGAAACCAGCUCAGAUCAGAUCAGCAGACACAAUUAUUGUCAUUUUUUUUUUUUUUUUAAAACUACAUGUUUGCCGAUGUCAGGGUGUAGCUUGAAAGUGACGAUGGUGGAACUAUUUACACCACAGAAAUUGGCAAAUGUUAAAAUACCAGGCCUUUAUUUUUUUCUUAAUUUCUUUGAGUGUUGGCUAUUAAAUAUUUUGCAGCAUACUAGCAGAUCAGUGUAAUAAAUUAAAAAAAAAUUAACAUUAUGUAGAAUCAGUUAAAUAUGUGUUUUAUUUGUUGCUACAUAUGGGGUAAGGAUAUAAAGUUGCUUUUAGUUAAAUACUUAAAGAUGUCUACUAAAAGAGAAAGCAUGAAACUUACUAACUGGUACAGUGUCAAUAAUGAGAUGCUUUGCAAGUACUGCUUAAAAUUUCCUCAUGGCAAGGUAAGUUAUAUUUUAAGAAAACGAAUGUAAAUAAGUGUGAAUUUAAGUUCCUUCAUAAAAGUCUCUUUGGAGAAAACAAGUCAUCAAACCUCGGUUUCAUUUCCUUAACUUAAAGGUUAUUUAAUGAAAGUGUAGUCUUGGUAAGUGUACAUGUUUUUUAUGAGACACUCUAUCAGAAUUAUAGGUGAAUAAAGUCUUUAAUGAUAUAAACUGCAUUGCUAAAAGGAUAAAAAGUAGAUUGAAAGUUAAGAUGAGUCAGAUUUGGAAAACAAGUUAAAAUGAAACUCAACCUACAUUAUGCUUAUUUCUCAAUAUUUUAUCAUUUAUAUUAUUUAAAGGACCAUGAUUAUUCUGUUUCAAUUUAAUGCUUCAAAUGUGUCCCUUUAAAACUUUGCUAUUUUUGUUAUUAAAACAAUCUUCUAAUAUUUAAUUAGAGAAGCAGCAUUUCUAAUUAUUUCUACUUAAAUUUUAUGUUUCAAUCUAAACAUGUUUUAUGAUUAAAUUAAGCAUGUAUCUUCAGUGAUAUGUAGGUCACAUACAACUUGCCUCUUUUAAACUUAAUGACCUAAUACAUUCUUUUAUACUUUGUCCAGGAGUUUUGACUCCUUCUAAAUAAAUUUAAAAAAAAAUUUUUCAACUACCAUUUGUUUAUAUAUACAUGACUAUUUCAUAUCUGUAUUGAAUUAACAAAUCAUUUCAAAUGAUUUAAAUAAGCAAUGUAUACAGUAACAUAUAUUGUUUUAUUAUUUUGCUUGUAAUUUAGACAAACUUAAGAUUCUACCCUACUAGGGGAAAAAAAAAAAAAAAAAGUAGACACCAGCCAUAAAAUCCAUGGAAUGGAGAACAGUCUUCAUUGCCUGGGAAGAAGAUUGGGAUAACUCUGCUGAGUUAGAAUAACGGGUAGUGAUGUUCUCCAUUGAAAGUGGUGUAUUUUAAAGUACAAAACAUCAACAGAUUUCUCACCUUGGGACUAGGACACUUCCCCAAUAGCAUGAACCCUUUAAAAUUGCAAAAUUUAAAUAAGGUGGAAAAUUAAUAUAAAUCUUUUGGAUAAAAUCCUAGAUUUCCUAGAUCUUCAAAAAAGCUAUUAUUAAGUACCUCCUAAAAAUGAGUUGUCUUAGAGUUCAGAGGAUAGAGUAUUUGCCUAACAGCAUUGUAGCAAAGAUUAGAGAGCAUGAAUGGAAAGACAAUAAUUAAGAAGCAACAAUCAUUAGCUGCUUUCUUGAUUUGCUUAGAAUUUGUGAUCUAAAGGAACAUUUUCUCAUAUAUCCAUUAUUGUUGCUCUCUAAAUGCUAUAUUAAUAGCAUAUUUAUUUUAGAUUCUGCUAGCUACAGUUGGACAAAGUUUUAAUAAACUCAGAUAAGAAAAGUGUAAUGUUGAAUUCCUCUGCAGCAUUCCUGGCUAAUUUCCCUCCACCUUUGCUUUCUUUUCCUGGCCUCAGAGUUCAUUCCCUCCUAGCUCUGCCCUAUAAAUUAGAAGCACUUUUAUCUGAAGCUGUCAACCCAGUCCUUCAAAGAUUAUUCUAAACUAGUCAGCCUUAUCUAUAGGGAGGGGCAGGGAGUGGCCUGGGGCACUAAUGUUUUCAAAGGGCUCUCAGAGCAUUGAGGCUGUAAUGAGAGGGAGUCUUGUCAAAUGUGCUCCAAUUAAAUGUUACAGACUUCCCCCAGGAACAGCUUCUUUCUUUUGGGAAUUUAGUGCUGUUUGGUAACUUGAUUCCUGGGGCUAACACAGUAUUUUUUUUUUUUUUUUUUCCCCUGACAUGACAGAAGAGAGUAAAUCCAAAGGAAGAUAUUCUUUCCUAUCUUGUCAGGACUCAGAAAUUCACUGCCAACACAAGUCAGUUUGUGCUCAGGCGGCUUUCUUAGUAAAUGAUUCUAAGCAAAGUGAAAGCUUACGCUUUGCUGUCAGCCUCAAGAGUUCCAGUCCUUACACUGACCUAGCCGACCUGUGUGACUCAAGAGACCCCUCAAUGAGAGGGGCUGUGUUUACAUUUAUUCACAAUUGACCACUCUUCUCCUACUGGCUUUAAAAUAUUGAAGCAUACAUAGAAAUUCACACACACACACACAAACUUGCUCCUAGAAUACAUUAGAUUUCCGCACACUUAGUGAAUUUCCACCAACGGUUGUAAAUGAUUUUAAAAUAUAUUUUAAAUACGUAACUCUACCUUUUCAUUUGCUUAGAAUUGCUAGUUGCAAGGAAGCCUAAUUUUGAUCAAGUACUUCACCCUCUCCAUUUCUUCAGGCAACUGGAGACUACUUAACUUAUAAACAGCUAAUUGUAUUCAUCUUAAGAUACAACUGAAGUGAAAUAUAGCCUAUUUUCUUAACUUUAUGUAAUGGCAGUAAUAGAAGUUGCAAACCACAUUUUAUUCCUAAUUAUAGAAUUUGACAGUAUCCUUAGAAAAUCAAAAAAUUAGAACAGUAAAAUGUUCAGAUAAGAAAUAUCAGAGUUCCAGUAAUAUGUCAGAGCGUUAAAAACAUGCUUAAAAUAUCGUAAUUCAUAACGUAAUAUUUUUAAAAUACAUUUUAAUCUAAAGGUAAAAAAUACCUGAAAUGUAAUCCUGUUUUUAUUUUUUAUUUAUUUUUUUAAAUGUUUAUUUAUUUACUUACAGAGAGAGAGACAGAACAAGAGAACGAGCAGGGAAAGGGCAGAGAGAGAGAGAGAGAGAGAGUGAGAGGAUACAAAGCAGGCUCUGCACGGACAGCCCUGACUCAGGGUUUGAAUCCAAGAACACUGUGAGGCCAUGACCUGAGCAGAAAUCAAGAGUUGAAUGCUUAACCAACUGAGCCACCCAGGUGCCCUACAAGCUCAGUCUUUAUUGGCUAAUUUAAAGUGGAAGAGUAGGAAUUAGGGCAUGGGAAGGAAGGAAGCAGGGCCACUCAAGCAGCUAUCUAGAUUUUCUAAGGCUUUCUAAGGGGUACUUCAAGGGUGGAAGCAGCCUAAUUUCUUAUCUGGAUAUUUUGCUAGUAGCUGUAUCACACAGCGGGCAGUAUUUUUAUUCAAGAUGGAUGUCCUUGAAAUGGAUGCCUGGCAAUCAAAAGCAUGAUGUCAGGCACCUACACUGUGGACAGCUUUUCUCUCUGUUCCAUAUGGAUUGACACUGGGCUGACAUAGAAGGCUGAAAUAUUCAAGGUGAUAUCAUUACUCAUCUGUUUUUUACUCAAUUGGAAUGACUAGAACAGUCCAGGGCUGGUCAGACAUCUCUUUCUCUUUUUCCCACAUGGCCUCCCUAUGUGGCUAGCUUGGGCUUUCACACAGCAUGAUGGUCUCACAAUUUCUUACAUGCUAACUCCAGAGCACAAAGUUGGACACUACCAAGCAUUUUAAAUGCUUGUUCAUAAAAGUUCCAGAAUGCUACUUCCUUUUAAUUCUGUUGGUCCUAGUAGUCACAAGGUGACUCAUUCAAAAGAUGAAAUAGACUUCAUCUCUUGAUUAGAGAACAUUAAGGUAACAUUGCAAAAGAGCACAUGGAAUGGGAGUUGUAUCAUUUUAGGACACAUGGUCUGCCAAACUCUUUAAGAUUGAUUUCUAUGAAAGAUGACAAUUCAUUCUAGCAUAACCAAGAGUUAAAUGUGAUAAAUAUGCUAAAGAGAGAAAUAUGAGUCACUGAUAAAACCUGAAUUGUUGAGGGAAAAGUCAGAGUACAAGAUGGAGUUUCUCAUUAAGAUUUCUCUAAGUUCCAGGGGUGCCUGGGUGGCUCAGUUGGUUAAGCACCCAACUUCGGCUCAGGUUGUGAUCUCUCAGUUCUUGAGUUUGAGCCCCAUGUUGGGCUCUGUGCCGACAGCUGGGAGCCUGGAACUUGCUUCAAAUUCUGUGUCUCCUGCUCUCUCUGACCCUCCCCUGCUUGUGCUCUGUCUCUCUCUUUCUCUUGCAAAAAUAAAUAAACAUUUAAAAAUUUUUUUAAAAAGGAUUUCUCUAAGUUCUAUAUCCAUCUCUUCUUAGACUCAUAUUUAUAUUGUGGAUUAAGGGGGUAAAAUAUAAGUAAAAUUAUUUUAAUAGUACUGCUUCAUUAAAAAUCCUGUAAGACAAAAAAAAAAAAAAAAUCCCAUAAGGCAUACCAUCACAAGUAGUACUGCUUUGGUAUUCUUGUGGAAAAAAUAUUAAUAACAAAGUGGCAGAUAAGUAUCUUUCCCCCUAGUGCAACUUCUACAAUUCAACAAUUCCUAAUAGCACACCUCCCAUUUAGGUAAAACCAAGACUCUAACUGAUAGCUGGCAGAAAUGGAUAAUUUAGUGGACAUGGUGAAUGAAGGUAGAGGAAUCGGCAUCCACAUCCACAAUCUUUCCGCUGUGAUAUAGUUUCCUAUACUACAUAGGUUAGUUUAUAUUUCCCAGAGUCUGGGAAAUAUCUAGAGAUAUUCAAGUGAGUCAGGUAUAAAUAUAAACAAUUCCAUAAGGCAGAAAGAGGCAAGAACCAUCUUGCUGUCCUUUUUUUCUUUUUUUUUUAAUCCCCCUGCUCAUUUGCAGGCAUGAAGAUAUUAGGCAUUUUUACAACAGCCUUCCAGUGUACAGUCACUGGCUUUGCCGAUGUUGAUAGUCUUUGCAGUGGCACAAUGUUUAUCUGAUCUAUGGCUUAUACCUAGACAUCAUGUAAUUGAAAUCAAGAGUUCCAGUGCCGGGGAUAGUUUCCUGAUUCCUACCUUCCUGCAUAGGGUUAGUCUAGAAUCCACCCAUCUAGUUCUUCUAAUAAUGUCGCUAAUAUCUAAUCCCUUGAUAGUAAAUUAUUUGCUGCUUGAAACUGUUGAAAUGUUUUUUCCUUCCUGUAGUCAAAUUCUGCCUAAGAUAGCCAGUAUCAUAUGUGUUGAUGGGGAAAGGGAGUUCUCUUACCUGGUGACCCAGUACCAUGCAAGAACAGCAUGCAUGGCACCCAGCAGGGUCAGCUGUCCUUGUGAAGUGAAGCAAAAAUAGUCAAGGAAAGCCACUGGGGUUUUGUAAGGUAGCUGACCAGAUUUCCCCUUAAACACCUGUGAGAUAACUGAGAGAGAUUUUAACAGAAAAAUUUAAGAGACUACAAAAGAGUACACAACUACCAGUUGUAUAAAGUUCUGUCUUUCUUAAAUAAGUGCUUUUGGAUUAAUUCUGAGAAGCAGAUGGAAAGAGUUGGCAUUUAGGACUGGUUCAAUAUUUUUUUAAUAACUUUAUUGAAAUGUUGAUGUAUAAUUUGUAUAUUAGAAUAUACACCUCAAUAAAUUUUCAUGUAAGUAUAAUACAUUGAAACCAUCACCUACAUCCAAAUAAUGAAUAUAUCCAUCAUCCAUAGUGGUUUUCUCAUGACCUUUGGAAACUCUCCCUCAUGUCUUCCUUGUGUCUGUUCUCAGCCCUCUACUCCACCUCUAGCAUCAACACCAGCAACAACUGAUCUGCUGUCACUUUAGAUUAGUUUGCAAUUUUAGAACGUUUUAUUUGUUUUUGAGAGAGAGAGAAAGAAUGAGAGCGCAUGAAUGAGAA